GACCUUAUGUGUUCCAUGGAAGUUCAUUUAAAUCACAAAGCCUCAUUUACUGGAAGAAAUACCUUUUAGUCUAUAAAAACUGGCAUAGGUCAUGUGAGCAAUAAACUGAUCUUUUGCUGAUGGCGUUCUAAGCAGAUACAGGUAUAUUCUUGUGGCUUAGGGUUAAUGAUGAGCUACUGAUUAUAUUAAAAGUAAUACAAGACUAUCUUUGUUUUCAGGUACAAAGAGCUCUAAAAAGUA
rnacentral:lncRNA from 1 species